rnacentral:rRNA from 1 species
UACGUAGGGGGCUAGCGUUGUCCGGAAUCAUUGGGCGUUAAGCGCGUGUAGGCGGCCCGGUAAGUCCGCUGUGAAAGUCGGGGGCUCAACCCUCGAAUGCCGGUGGAUACUGUCGGGCUAGAGUGCGGAAGAGGCGAGUGGAAUUCCUGGUGUAGCGGUGAAAUGCGCAGAUAUCAGGAGGAACACCAAUUGCGAAGGCAGCUCGCUGGGACGUGACUGACGCUGAGACGCGAAAGCGUGGGGAGCAAACAGG